GAGUUUGAUCCUGGCUCAGAACGAACGCUGGCGGCAUGCCUAACACAUGCAAGUCGAACGAGACCUUCGGGUCUAGUGGCGCACGGGUGCGUAACGCGUGGGAAUCUGCCCUUCGGUUCGGAAUAACUCAGGGAAACUUGAGCUAAUACCGGAUGAUGACUUCGGUCCAAAGAUUUAUCGCCGAGGGAUGAGCCCGCGUCGGAUUAGCUAGUUGGUGAGGUAAAAGCUCACCAAGGCGACGAUCCGUAGCUGGUCUGAGAGGAUGAUCAGCCACACUGGGACUGAGACACGGCCCAGACUCCUACGGGAGGCAGCAGUGGGGAAUAUUGGACAAUGGGCGAAAGCCUGAUCCAGCAAUGCCGCGUGAGUGAUGAAGGCCUUAGGGUUGUAAAGCUCUUUUACCCGGGAAGAUAAUGACUGUACCGGGAGAAUAA
rnacentral:rRNA from 1 species